UACUGGAAACGGUAGCUAAUACCGCAUAACGUCGCAAGACCAAAGUGGGGGACCUUCGGGCCUCACACCAUCGGAUGAACCCAGAUGGGAUUAGCUAGUAGGUGGGGUAAUGGCUCACCUAGGCGACGAUCCCUAGCUGGUCUGAGAGGAUGACCAGCCACACUGGAACUGAGACACGGUCCAGACUCCUACGGGAGGCAGCAGUGGGGAAUAUUGCACAAUGGGGGAAACCCUGAUGCAGCCAUGCCGCGUGUGUGAAGAAGGCCUUCGGGUUGUAAAGCACUUUCAGCGGGGAGGAAGGCGGUGGCGUUAAUAGCGCUAUCGAUUGACGUUACCCGCAGAAGAAGCACCGGCUAACUCCGUGCCAGCAGCCGCGGUAAUACGGAGGGUGCGAGCGUUAAUCGGAAUUACUGGGCGUAAAGCGUACGCAGGCGGUCUGUUAAGUCAGAUGUGAAAUCCCCGGGCUUAACCUGGGAACUGCAUUUGAAACUGGCAGGCUAGAGUCUCGUAGAGGGGGGUAGAAUUCCAGGUGUAGCGGUGAAAUGCGUAGAGAUCUGGAGGAAUACCGGUGGCGAAGGCGGCCCCCUGGACGAAGACUGACGCUCAGGUACGAAAGCGUGGGGAGCAAACAGGAUUAGAUACCCUGGUAGUCCACGCUGUAAACGAUGUCGAUUUGAAGGUUGUGGCCUUGAGCCGUGGCUUUCGGAGCUAACGCGUUAAAUCGACCGCCUGGGGAGUACGGCCGCAAGGUUAAAACUCAAAUGAAUUGACGGGGGCCCGCACAAGCGGUGGAGCAUGUGGUUUAAUUCGAUGCAACGCGAAGAACCUUACCUACUCUUGACAUCCAGAGAACUUAGCAGAGAUGCUUUGGUGCCUUCGGGAACUCUGAGACAGGUGCUGCAUGGCUGUCGUCAGCUCGUGUUGUGAAAUGUUGGGUUAAGUCCCGCAACGAGCGCAACCCUUAUCCUUUGUUGCCAGCGAUUCGGUCGGGAACUCAAAGGAGACUGCCGGUGAUAAACCGGAGGAAGGUGAGGAUGACGUCAAGUCAUCAUGGCCCUUACGAGUAGGGCUACACACGUGCUACAAUGGCGCAUACAAAGAGAAGCGAUCUCGCGAGAGUCAGCGGACCUCAUAAAGUGCGUCGUAGUCCGGAUUGGAGUCUGCAACUCGACUCCAUGAAGUCGGAAUCGCUAGUAAUCGUGGAUCAGAAU
rnacentral:rRNA from 1 species